rnacentral:rRNA from 1 species
AUACGGAGGAUCCGAGCGUUAUCCGGAUUUAUUGGGUUUAAAGGGUGCGCAGGCGGCCAUUUAAGUCAGCGGUUAAAUCGUGGGGCUCAACCCCAUUCUGCCGUUGAUACUGGGUGGCUUGAUUGCGGUCGAGGUUGGCGGAAUUCGUUGUGUAGCGGUGAAAUGCAUAGAUAUGACGAAGAACACCGAUUGCGUAGGCAGCUGACCAGACCUCAGAUGACGCUCAUGCACGGAAGUGCGGGGAUCGAACAGGAUUAGAUACCCUGGUAGUCCGCACAGUAAACGAUGAAUACUUGUUUUCGGCUAUAGAAUGUCGGAGGCAAAGCGAAAGCGAUAAGUAUUCCACCUGGGGAGUACGCCGGCAACGGUGAAACUCAAAUGAAUUGACGGGG